GACGAACGCUGGCGGCGUGCUUAACACAGGCAAGGGGUGCGACAACCCAGGCUCCGGCCUGGGGCGAAGCCCGGACCGGGUGAGUAACACUUGGCCAACCUGCCCGUCCGUCCGGACAAACCCGGGGAAACCCGGGCAAAUACCGAUUGUGGUGCGGGCGCAUGAGGGCGGGUAGGAAAAAAAGCUCCGGCCUCCGCGCAGGGUGGAGCCCGCGGCCCAUUAGCUUGUUGGUGGGGUAAUGGCCUACCAAGGCAACGAUGGGUAGCUGGUCUGAGAGGACGAUCAGCCACACUGGGACUGAGACACGGCCCAGACUCCUACGGGAGGCUGCAGUGGGGAAUCUUGCGCAAUGAGCGACAGCUUGACGCAGCAACGCCGCGUGGGGGAAGAAGGCUUUCGGGUCGUAAACCCCUUUCAGUUAGGACGAAGCUUUUUUGGUUAAUAGCCAAACGGAGUGACGGUACUUUCAGAAGAAGCCCCGGCUAACUACGUGCCAGCCGCCGCGGUAA
rnacentral:rRNA from 1 species